rnacentral:lncRNA from 1 species
UGCUUCGUGCUCCCUGUGCCCCCGGCACACACAUGGUUUUCUAACUUUCUGGCCUGCUGCAGCUGCGCUCGGGUUUGUACCGUAACUGAAACGCCUGCUAAAUCCGCUAGAAAUCUACCAGAAUGAAGACCGGAGUGCUAGCAAGAAGACUUCUAUCAGCGUGAGCAGCGGGCACUGAGGAGAGGCAGUACACGCGUGAUCAGGAGUUGUGAAGCUCACGACUGGGGUAUGCACUGAGUGAUCUACAAUGAGCAGCAAGCAGGAUGUCGCAGGGGGAAUGACUUUUUGUGAAUGCCAAGCGAGCAAUCUGCUGUCUGUGCUCCCACUAACGGCUCAUACAUAUUUCUUCAAUUAUCCUGUGAGCCCGAAAGAUGGCCUUUGCUGUGUUGAUUGCUGCAGCGUGUGUGGAUCUAGCUAAUGUUUCCUGAAGUCUCCUGAUCUAAGCUUGUCGUACCUAACCAGCUACUGCGUGUGGUGCCGG